ensembl:snRNA U6 U6 spliceosomal RNA
ACCCCUACAAUGGUACUUGUAGGAAUGCUCCAGACAUAAGCAUUACCCCUGUGCAAGGAUGACAUACAAAUUCAUGAGGUGUUCCAUAUUUUU